rnacentral:rRNA from 1 species
AAUCAACGCUGGCGGCGUGCCUAACACAUGCAAGUCGAACGCGAAAGCCUCGCAAGGGGCAAGUAGAGUGGCAAACGGGUGAGUAACACGUGGGUGACCUGCCUUCGAGUGGGGAGUAACGUUCCGAAGGAACGCUAAUACCGCAUAACAUCCUGCCUUUUAAGUAGGUGGACAUCAAAGCUGGGGACCGGCAAGGCCUGGCGCUUGAAGAGGGGCCCGCGCCUGAUUAGCUAGUGGUUGGGGGUAAGUGGCUCACCAAGGCAUCGAUCAGUAUCCGGCCUGAGAGGGCGGACGGACACACUGGGACUGAGACACGGCCCAGACUCCUACGGGAGGCAGCAGUGGGAAUUGUUCGCAAUGGGCGCAAGCCUGACGACGCAACGCCGCGUGGAGGA